AUUGAACGCUGGCGGCAUGCCUUACACAUGCAAGUCGAACGGUAACGCGGGGCAACCUGGCGACGAGUGGCGAACGGGUGAGUAAUGUAUCGGAACGUGCCCAGUUGUGGGGGAUAACUGCUCGAAAGAGCAGCUAAUACCGCAUACGACCUGAGGGUGAAAGCGGGGGAUCGCAAGACCUCGCGCACUUGGAGCGGCCGAUAUCCGAUUAGGUAGUUGGUGGGGUAAAGGUUCACCAAGCCAACGAUCUGUAGCUGGUCUGAGAGGACGACCAGCCACACUGGGACUGAGACACGGCCCAGACUCCUACGGGAGGCAGCAGUGGGGAAUUUUGGACAAUGGACGCAAGUCUGAUCCAGCCAUGCCGCGUGCGGGAAGAAGGCCUUCGGGUUGUAAACCGCUUUUGUCAGGGAAGAAACGCUCUGGGUUAAUACCUCGGGGUAAUGACGGUACCUGAAGAAUAAGCACCGGCUAACUACGUGCCAGCCGCCGCCGUAAGAC
rnacentral:rRNA from 1 species